rnacentral:rRNA from 1 species
UACGAAGGGGGCUAGCGUUGUCCGGAUUUAUUGGGCGUAAAGAGCGUGUAGGCGGCCACACAGGUCUGCUGUGAAAACUCGAGGCUCAACCUCGAGAGGUCGGUGGAAACCGUCUGGCUAGAGUCCGGAAGAGGAGAGUGGAAUUCCCGGUGUAGCGGUGAAAUGCGCAGAUAUCGGGAAGAACACCCGUGGCGAAGGCGGCUCUCUGGGACGGUACUGACGCUGAGACGCGAAAGCGUGGGGAGCGAACAGG